GGCGUCGGAAAGUGCGGGGCUGCUUAGGAUCCCUGGGUAGUACCCUGCAUCCACGAGCGGUCUGGUGAUCCGCAGAGCAGAAGCGACAGAUCAUCAUAUUUCCUUCAGGAAAUCAUUGUGUGAAAUACAAUGUGGAUCAAAAGUGGCAAAAAUUCAUUCCAGGCUCAGACAAGAGCCAGGGCAUGCUGGCCUUGUCCAUCAGUCCAAUCGGCGAUACCUCGCUGUCUCCGAGACUGUGCAGGAAAAGCCCGUCAUCACCAUUUACGAACUGUCGUCCAUCCCUUGCCGGAAACGUAAAAUACUCAAUAAUUUUGACUUUCCAGUUCAGAGGUUUAUUUCCAUGGCUUUUUCUCCAGACUCCAAAUACCUCUUGACUCAAACAUCACCUCCAGAGUCAAACCUUGUCUACUGGUUGUGGGAAAAACAGAAAGUAAUGGCCAUCAUUAGAAUCGACACUCAGAGCAACGCCAUCUACCAGGUGAGCUUCAGUCCCCAGGAUAACACUCAGGUUUGUGUCACCGGCAAUGGGAUGUUUAAGCUUCUCCGUUUUGCUGAGGGGACCCUGAAGCAAACUAAUUUUCAGAGGGGAGAACCCCAAACUAUCUCGCCCACACCUGGGUGUCUGAGGACAAGAUAGUUGUUGGCACUGACGCGGGCAGGCUCUUCCUCUUCGAGUCUGGAGAUCAGCGCUGGGAGACAAGUAUCGCGGUCAAGGAGCCCACCAGCGAGACCAAGAACCUGGGGGUGAUCCAGGAGUCUGAGAGGUAAUGGCCCCCCCGUGGGCGGGGCUCUCAGGAUUACGCUCAUGGCGCUCAUCACAGCACAGGGCAGCGGCCUUCUGGAAGAGCCACGCCUAUCCCCCUCCUAGGGGUCAUCCCCAUUCAGAGGCAAAUUUGACAGUCAUGACCAUGGCUUAGAUACAGUUCUUUUUAUUUUUCUACCUGACCUCUUUCUAUGUGCAUUUUAGUAGAAGCAGUCUUCAAAACAACAGAUUUUCAAAACUGUGUUUUCUAGCUAGCGCCUGCCUGGUGUACUGAAUCUAUCAUAACGUCCCCCGAGCCCUUGCAGUGUGCAGGCUCUGUGCUUGGGGUCGGGGUCCUCAGGACCUUGGAGUUGGGUAGGAGGCCUCAGGAGACGCGAGGAGAUGCUGUCAGUCAGCCUGACAGAAGCACAUGAGCUAGAGUGCGACCAGGAUGGAGCUGGCACUUUUAGCCCUGCUGCAGCCAGUGAGAGCCAUACCCAUGCGUGUUGGAAAGUACCGCCGUGGUUCUAGACCCUGCCUUACACACUUCAUGUGUAUUCCCAUCUGAGUCUAACCCGUGCUUUACGGUACAUAUUAUUAUCACGCCCACUUUAGAGACAAGGAAACAGAGGCUCCAGGAGGUUGACUCACCCCGGAUCACAGCACUGUGAAGUGACAGGUCAGGACUCAGACUGAGACCUGUCUAACCCCGGAGCCUGCGCCUCGGCCACCAUGGCGCACUGUAGGCUCUUCCUCCUCAAUGACUUUGGCGUCACCCAGUUUUCACUCCCCCACCCCCGUGAUGAUGACACGGCUUUUUGGUCGUGAUGAUGUUGAGAAAUUCUCAGUAAGAUCCUAUGCCAUCCAGUUUGCUGUGUUCGCCCUCUUUCAGAGGGUCCAGGGCUCCAAGAAUAAACAAACUCCUGAACUUGGCCCACACGUCCCCCUGCCCUGACCCACCUUUAAUCUGGGGCAUCCUCUCCCGCCUCUCUCCCCACGUGCCACAUGCACGCUCCUGCUUCUGGGCUUGGUCACUAUUCCUCUUUGUCCUUGGGUCUCAGCUGGGAGCCUCAGCCUCUGCGCAUCUCAGGCAGGUGGUCCUCCUCUCUGACUGCCCUCAGAACAUCCUGUCACCUCUGACCAGCAGCUUCCAUCCUACUCAGAAGCCCCUAAGAGUGCUCAUCACACGCCCUGUAGGCUCUCGGCGUCUCAGGGCAUGAACUGAGUCAAUCUCAUCUACCACUGUUUGAUGGAGUCGUUAACACAGCCUAACUCCAGUAAACGAUGUACGAAAGAAUGAAGGAGGAAGAGGGGGAGGGAGGAAGGAGGUUGGAAAGGGAGGGAGAGAGGAAGAAAGGAAAGAAGGAAAGAAAACAGUGGGAAAGGAAGGUGGGAAGGACGGGAAUGGAAACCUAGAUUCAGAUUCAGCUCUUCCGCUUACUCAUUUAGAACUCAACCCCUCCGAGCCACUUUUCCCCCAAACAACCAAAGAAGUGAGAUAGUAACAGUGACUGCCCAGGGUCGCAAGACGUCCACCCAAAUGUGUGGCCCUCCGUCUUCCAUGGAGGGGCCAGCCUUCCCAGCCAGAGGGGAGCAGGUGGGUCAUGGAAAGCCUCUGACACUGGCUGGUUUUCUCCCACACCCAAGGACGGCCCUCUUCCUCAUCCCCAGCAGAACUCACCUCCUUGGGAUUGUCUCUGUUAACUCUCUGUGCUGUUUUCUUUUCCAGCCUGAUCCAGUUUCCAACGCUCACUUCCCCAGUCCCUUCCUGCGAGCAGGUCACGAUGGCCAGCAGCCGCAGCCAGCUGUCCCCGCCCCAGGUGUUUGCCAUUGCAGCCUAUUCUAAGGGAUUCGCCUGUUCCGCCGGGCCAGGAGGGUUCUACUGUACGAGAAGGUGGACGACAAGGAGUCGUACCGUGAGAGCAGGGAAAUCCGGGUAAGGGGGGGAGGCGGGGCAAAGCUGGGGCCCGACUGGCAUUUGUUCGGGGGCAGCAGGGCACCGACAGGGCGGGCGUUGGAUGGGGAGAGGCCGGGGUGCUGAGCAGAAAGGGACUUGAGACAUUUGCCUGCGGGGAGUUUUAGGAUGGGCUGGGCAGAAUCGAGGUUAGAAUCAGGGAGAUCUGGCUCUGAAUCCUGGGAGAGGACUGUGGCAAAUUCGGUUUUUCUCUUUGAAGAUCCGUGUUCCCAUAAACUUGUGUGAUUAUGAUGUCUCUGACACUUCAUGUCGAGAACACUGCCUGGUGCGAGCAUCCAGGAACGUUCGUGGAAGAAAUGACACAGACGGUGGAGGGAGAGCUUAUCUGUUUGGGGAAGAACCGGGAAGGCCUCAGGUGUUUGAGGCUAAUCUUUGAGGAGGGGUCGUAGAGGGUGGGUGACAUUUGACAGGAGGAAAGAGUCAGGAAUUCCAAGGGGAAGGGACAAAUUAGGCAAAGUCACCAGUGAUGGAGAGCAGGUGCUGUGUUUGGGGAGGUCCGUUGCCCAGUGGAGGGGCCUGAAGUCACUUAAAGGGAGAGAGAGGAGCUGCGAAUGGUGAAAGGUGGCAAAUAGAAACGCCAGCCUGGAGAGCGUGUGUGUAAUUCGGCAGGUGUCCUGUGUCCGUGGAGAAGCAUUAUGCUUCAGAAAAGUAACCUGCCUGUGUUGCCUGGUGCGGGUGAUUUGGGGGCAUUGGAUGCGAAGUGGUUAAUUACCCAUGGAAUGAGUUAGACCUGACUCACUUUUACUGGCUGAGUGACUUCACAUGGGUUGCAGAAUCUAGAACACUCGUAAGAUAAUGGCGCAUCCCUGCUGGUUAUCAAAAGAAUGGAACAACAGCCAUGUAAUCACUCUGUGUACUGCCUGUGCUCGAUAAAUGCAUUAGUAGCUAUCCUUGCCACGAUCAGGAGUUAGUUCUGAGGCUUUCAGGUGAGGGCUCGGCAGUGAGGCGCACAGAGAGCCUUUGCAAAGCUUAAGUCCAUAGGACGUUCCCUGAGCAGAUGCAGGAGCCCAGAGAUGAGCAGCUCUCAGAGAGGAUGCGCAGGCUGUGUGCUGCAUGCCGGGAAAAGACGCCAGGAUGAGGGGUGGGUGAGAGCAAGGCAGGCGGUGUCGGGGAAGGAGCACGGUGAGUUUACUUGCCUGUAAUUCAUUCUUUUGUGUGUUUAUUCACUUAACAGAUGUUUAUUGAGUGUUUCCUCUGUCUCGGGCUCUGUGCUCAGGGCUGGGAUACAGUAGGGAAGCAACCACAGUAAGACUUGUCCUUAGAGCUCAAUCAACAAGCAAACAAAUAUGAACAGCUUGUCCGAUGAGACCAAUGGUGUGAAGAAAAUCAAGCCAGGAAGGCACAGGGAGCAAGAGGGCGUCUGUUCUAGAGCCAGUGUCCAGGGGAGACCUCGCUGAGGAGUGCUGACUUUUGACCAGAGCCCAGGAUAAAUUGAAGCAGUUGGAAAUGUGGUUUAGACCUUGUGCGUGAGAUCGGUCUGUCCAUCUCUCUCUCUCUCUCUGUCUCUCUCUCACACUCACACACAUACACACACACACACACACACACGUAGUGCUUGCCUUCUGUCUCGCACAUAGACUCUGCUUUAUUUUCACUACUUUAAAUGUUUAUUGUUGUAAUUACUUUACUACUGUUGUGUCUUUGAACCCUCAUGUUAGUUUAAAAUCACUGAGCGAGGAAAACAACAGUGUCCUGAGGACAAAACUUAGCAUUUCCAAAUUUCAGGAGUGAGACAAGAGGAGAACCCAGCAGGACACUGAGAAGAUCCCCCACUCAUUCAUUCAACACAUGUCUGUCUUGCCUCAACCACAGGCCGGGCUCCAUGCUGCGGCCUGCGGUGGGAGAAUCAGUCGUGGCCACUCCCCUCCUGCACCUCCUUGGAGGAGGACCAGGAGGCAACACCAUCCGUUCACUGCUGUGUGCCAGGCGCCAGGAGGUGGAUGUGGGCACACACCAGGUCCUCAGGCUGCAGGCUCCCGUUCUACUUUACCGCGGUGUGAUGCAUGUGACAACCGAGGGGACCCCGGGUGCUGAGGGCACAUUGAGAGACUGUCAGGGCCCACCCAGCCCAGAGCCGUCAGGGAAGGCUUCCCAGAGCCCUUGCUGUCCCGGGGAGUUGACUUCAUGAAGACAGGUUAGGAGCUAUAUAGCAGACAGAGCUCCAGGCAGAGGGAGGGCAGCACAGGA
rnacentral:lncRNA from 9 species